UCUCUCUCUUUCUCUCUCUCUCUCUCUUUCUCUCUGGAUAUGUACCUUAGGAGGCCUGAGUUAACAUGUAAGAUGUCUAACUAUCCCGAAGCCACUAUGCUGGAAGGAUCACAUGGAGAGACCACAUAGAGAUACAAAGAUGCCUGAGGAAACCCAGCUGUUCAGCACAGAUGUUUUUUAGUUUUCCCGUUGCCCAGGCAUGCGAGUGAGUGAGCUUUCCAAAGACUUUAACCCCAGCCUUUGAGCUGCCAGAGCUGACAUGAAGUAGAACAGAGAUGAGCUGAGCUUUGCCCCACCUGCAGAUGUAUAUAAAGAAAUUGACACAACUAAUUAGAAGCCGGGUCCAAGAUUUUCAUUUAUAAAGUCUACUUCCAGCACUCACUCUUUGACCCCCUAUACUUCAUACUCCAGAGUGACUCCAAACAAAGACUAUGGAACUUCCCACAUACACCCCUUUUGGCUGAGCUGUAUGGCCAUAAGCGUAGAGACUUGCAGCUGUAUGUGGCCGUGAAUGAGAGACCCAGAGAUGGAAGCUUCACAGCAUUUGUGGCAGUAGCGGCAGAAAUGCAUCACACAUUUGAGUCCCUAGAUGGCCUUGUGGAGAAACGUCUACCUGCCACCCUGGACUAUUAGAGCUGAAAGAUAAGCGGUGGGUCCUGCUAUCAACUUGUAGUAAAUACCUUCCUUGUUAUGAUAAGGCAUCACACCCUGUUGCAGUCAAAUUCUUAACCACUGCAGUUCCAUCACAGACAUGAAAAAGAUGCAGGCAAGAUAUGGAGUGUCUUCAUGGGGGAGAUUCAGAAGCCAUGGAUGGUGUAGAAAGAAAUAUUCUUCAAACAAAACCUUAUGAGGAACAGAACCAUAGCUCCUGAAACUGUGUGAAAGCAAGAGAAAGAGAGUCUUUUGUCAAUAGUCUGUCCACACAUAUCCAGACCCAACCCAAAGUUACAACCUGACCUCCACGAUCACUUUCCCUCACAGGGACCGCACUAUGAGGAACACGCCAAAGUUGAGAAAGGGUAAGAUUCUUGCCCAACCUCAAGACCAGUGCUAUUCUCUUCACGCCAAGGCAGGAAGAUCACUGAAGCCCAGAAGUUCGAGGCUAAAAUGAGCUAUGAUUGUGCCAACGCACUUCAUCCUAGGCAACAUAGCAAAACCCUAUCUCUAAAAUAUAAACAAGUAAAAUAAAUUUAAAAAUAAUUGUGGCGUGUGGCAAUUAUUGAUAAUGCCUCAUAGCCCCAAAUUCAUCCCUGGUUGCCUUCCCUGUGAAAAUAAAUCUAGGCCCUUCACCUUUAUUUUUUUCUUUUUUGGCUAUCAUGAUGCUAAACUUAUCAGUAGAGGGCAAUACAAAGACAUUUCAAGAAGGCAGAGGCUUCCCUCCUGGUAGUGCACUUUUUCCCCACUGUCUAUUCCACGUGGUUUUCACCAUUGUCAAGGGCUUAGAGGGUACAGCUUUCACAGUGUGUUUUCUACAGUUCUUGACUCAGGAAACAAUGGCAUAGUGGAAGCCCCAGAAAAAUCUGACCUGUGCGCUAGCCCUGUUAACUGCUGCCCACAACCCUGAGUGAUAUGAAUGUAAGGGGUACUGUGGAGCUGAUAAUCAGCAAGCUUGUGGCAUGACCUCCAUCCUGUGUAGCCCAGAGCCACCCUACCCAAGCCACAAAUAGAAAAGCUCUGGGUUUUGAUGCUGACUCUCUAUGGUCCCACUUCUUAGCCUAAGAUCACCUGUGCCCUAGAGAGUUGUACCUACUUCGCCUGGUGACUGUGGACCAGCUCUGCAGGAAGCAAUUUACCAAAUGUCUCUGCGAUCCAGUGGUCAGCAAUUACACCUUCUUCAGUGUGGUCAUAGCCUCUUUCCAAAUUUGUCCUUCCUUAACUACUCUCCCUGUUUUCAUGUUUAUAGUUGUUCUCUUAUCAUUGUUUAAUAAUUUUUAUGUUAAAUUUCCCAUGUUUAAAUUACUAAGUCGAUAUUGUCUCUUGAUUGUACCCAGGCCAAUAAAUGGUACUAUAAAUAUUGUGUUUAUAUUUCAAUAUACAUUGUUUUAAGGUGACUCCCAUGGAGUUUAUAAGCAAGAUAAUGCUUGAGCAAAAUCUAGUACAUUGCAAUAACCUAGGUGACCACAUCAUUUCUCGUGCAAUAAUCAUUUUUAUGUCUCAUAAGAUAUAUGAAUAUAUUAUAAAUUAGAAACAGGAAUAAUUAAACAGAAAACAAUAGCAUAUGACAUGGCAAAGGCAAUAAAAUAAAUAUAUAGGCAAUAUAGGAGCAACUAUGAAAGACUAGGACUUGCAAUAUCAUAUAAAGGAAUUUAAGAACCGAAAUUGAGUAGUCAUUCUUGUUAACAGUGUAUUCAUUUUGUUUUCAUAAUCUUAUUAUCAUGCUGUAACUGUGCUAUAAAAGAGAUAUUGACAAAGACAUGCUUCAGUUAAGGCAGUUUACAUAUGAGCAAAAAAUUUUGGAAACAUUGGAAUUGUUAGUAUAA
rnacentral:lncRNA from 1 species